UACGUAGGGAGCAAGCGUUGUUCGGAUUUACUGGGCGUAAAGGGCGCGUAGGCGGCGCGGUGAGUCACUUGUGAAAUCUCUGAGCUUAACUCAGAACGGCCAAGUGAUACUGCAGUGCUAGAGUGCAGAAAGGGCAAUCGGAAUUCUUGGUGUAGCGGUGAAAUGCGUAGAUAUCAAGAGGAACACCUGAGGCGAAGGCGGGUUGCUAGGCUGACACUGACGCUGAGUGCGCGAAAGCCAGGGGAGCAAACGGG
rnacentral:rRNA from 1 species